UGUCUUUACAUUGAAUCUUAACUGUUUCC
rnacentral:piRNA from 1 species